rnacentral:rRNA from 1 species
GACAGAGGGUGCAAACGUUGCUCGGAAUUACUGGGCGUAAAGCGCGUGUAGGUGGAUUGGUGUGUCAGAUGUGAAAUCCCUGGGCUCAACCCAGGAACUGCACCUGAAACUACCAGUCUUGAGUGGUGGAGAGGGAAGUGGAAUUCCUGGUGUAGAGGUGAAAUGCGCAGAUAUCAGGAAGAACACCCGUGGCGAAGGCGGCUCUCUGGGACGGUACUGACGCUGAGACGCGAAAGCGUGGGGAGCGAACAGG